CCUACGGGAGGCAGCAGUGGGGAAUAUUGGACAAUGGGCGAAAGCCUGAUCCAGCAAUGCCGCGUGAGUGAUGAAGGCCUUAGGGUUGUAAAGCUCUUUUACCAGGGAUGAUAAUGACAGUACCUGGAGAAUAAGCUCCGGCUAACUCCGUGCCAGCAGCCGCGGUAAUACGGAGGGAGCUAGCGUUGUUCGGAAUUACUGGGCGUAAAGAGUACGUAGGCGGUUAUUCAAGUCAGAGGUGAAAGCCCGGGGCUCAACCCCGGAACUGCCUUUGAAACUAGAUAGCUAGAAUCUUGGAGAGGUCAGUGGAAUUCCGAGUGUAGAGGUGAAAUUCGUAGAUAUUCGGAAGAACACCAGUGGCGAAGGCGACUGACUGGACAAGUAUUGACGCUGAGGUACGAAAGCGUGGGGAGCAAACAGGAUUAGAUACCCUGGUAGUCCACGCCGUAAACGAUGAUAACUAGUUGUUCGGGCACUUGGUGCCUGAGUGACGCAGCUAACGCAUUAAGUUAUCCGCCUGGGGAGUACGGUCGCAAGAUUAAAACUUAAAUGAAUUGACGG
rnacentral:rRNA from 1 species